UGGACGAUUGUUCUUUAUCUGCACCCUCCGCUGCCUCGCUUGCCUUCACCUCAUUGGUUGAUGCGCACGCGCGGGUCUCUUGCCCCCUCCCCGUCCCCUUCGGGGUAGGGGUUGGAGCAGCUCCUGGCCCAGGCCCGGCAGUCGCUUGUCAUCCGUCGAGGACUUAGCUACUGGCUCUCGUUAAGCGCUGGCACAAUGAAGUCGCUCAGUUUACUGUGGCCGGGUUACCACUGACCUUUAUCUACUGGAAUAUGGCCGCGCCGCUCCCCGCGGUCGCUCCCAGGCUCAUGGCAGGGCCGGGGGGAGGCGGCGAAAGGGAGACGCGGAUGCUACCGCGGUCGCCGCUGCUGCUGCCGCUGCUGCUAGGAAUUCUCCUCAGCCGGUGCCUGGGAGAGCAGCCCGCUCGCGCCGCCGCCGCCUCUUCCUCCUCUUCCUCCUCCUCCUCCUCCUCCUUCUUGUUGCCCGGGGCAUCCGAUUCGGAGGAAACGGUGAUAAUAGGGUUACGGCUGGAGGACACGGACGACGUGUCCUUUAUGGAAAAGGGAGUGCUCCGGGUGAGCGAGAGAACUCGUGUCAAACUGCGGGUCUACGGGCAGAAUAUCAAUAACGAGACCUGGUCCCGCAUCGCAUUCACCGAGCAUGAACGGUGGAGGGAUGGGGAAGGCAGGCGGCCGCCAGCUGAACAAGAAGACGGUCCGGUCCCCGUGGGUUCCAUGUCGUCGGCCCCGCAGCGUUGCGGCAUCCGGACGUCGGACAUCAUCAUCCUCCCGCAUAUCACCCUCAACCGCCGUACCUCGGGGAUCAUCGAGAUCGAUAUCAAGCCGUUGCGCAAAACGGAGAAAAGCAAGUCGUACUACUUGUGUACCUCGGUAUCUUCCCCUGCUAUCCUAGGAGGGGCGGGGAGUGUGGCCGGGAGCCCCGGUGGUGGAGCUGGCAUUAUUGGUCCCGAUGGAGGGCCCUGGACUGAGACUACCUGGAUCUAUCAUGAUGGUGAGGACACCAAGAUGAUUGUAGGUGAGGAGAAGAAAUUCUUGUUACCCUUCUGGCUUCAGGUGAUCUUCAUCUCCCUCCUGUUGUGUCUUUCUGGCAUGUUCAGUGGUCUCAACCUGGGACUUAUGGCUCUUGAUCCUAUGGAGUUGCGUAUUGUGCAGAAUUGUGGGACAGAAAAAGAAAAAAACUAUGCUAAGCGCAUUGAGCCUGUGCGCCGCCAGGGCAACUACUUGCUCUGUUCUUUGCUCUUGGGUAAUGUAUUGGUCAAUACUACCCUUACCAUCCUGCUCGAUGACAUUGCAGGUUCUGGACUGGUGGCGGUGGUAGUAUCCACCAUUGGUAUUGUCAUUUUUGGUGAGAUUGUGCCACAGGCUAUUUGUUCCCGGCAUGGUCUGGCUGUGGGUGCCAACACCAUCUUCCUUACAAAGUUCUUUAUGAUGAUGACCUUUCCAGCCUCUUAUCCAGUCAGCAAACUGCUGGACUGUGUUUUAGGGCAAGAGAUUGGUACUGUCUAUAACCGUGAGAAGCUACUUGAAAUGUUAAGAGUCACUGAUCCUUACAAUGAUUUAGUCAAAGAAGAAUUGAAUAUAAUUCAAGGAGCGCUGGAAUUGCGCACCAAAACUGUGGAGGAUGUAAUGACUCCUCUCCGGGAUUGCUUCAUGAUUACUGCUGAAGCUGUACUUGAUUUCAACACUAUGUCUGAAAUCAUGGAGAGUGGAUAUACACGUAUCCCAGUUUUUGAAGGAGACCGCUCUAAUAUUGUGGACCUUCUUUUUGUCAAAGACUUAGCUUUUGUGGAUCCUGAUGAUUGCACUCCACUCAAGACCAUCACACGUUUCUAUAACCACCCACUGCACUUUGUCUUCAAUGACACCAAGCUUGAUGCCAUGCUUGAGGAAUUCAAAAAAGAGACUGAUAUAUUCUGAAAAGCUGCUGGUAGAGAUGGAUUUAAUUUCAAAAUGAGAGAUCCCUAAAUUUAAAUCUCAUGGGAGACCACUGGUUGCUUUGCUGAAGCAAGAUAUGCUAUACCUACUGCAUUUUUAUGGUCAAACUGGUCAUUCUAUGGUUAAAUUGGUCAUUCUAUCAAAAAACACUUGUUCAUCUGAAAUUCUUUUCAAUCAUGUAAUAAAAGUUUUGCUAUUGAUCACGUGUCUGGAUGAGAGGAGGAAGGGAAUCACAGAAUGAAGGAGUUGUCAACAUUCUAAAACUGCUGCUGGAUUGCUUCUCUCUUAGGGUAGCACUUUGGAAAUUGGGUUUUGUUUUCCCUCUGCCCCCUGGCUUGAUCUGGCCCAUUUUCAAACCUAAUCUUUCUUUUCUUGACGUCUUCUGCCACAUCAAAUUUGUUUCUGUUCAGGUCAGUUUUUGCAAAGUUAUUGUACUGAAUGACAGAAUUGUGACUCCUUUCAUAUAAUAUACUUUUGGAUGUUGAAAAUAAUAAAAAGAUUAGGUUCGUUUGGCAUGAUUUAUUUUUAAUUCCACAGUGGCUCUUGCAAAGCAAUGCAUUAUUUUCUAUAUAUUCCAAAUAAUCUAUGUAAUGUUUACAAACACAUGAAUCCUUGAAUUGUAUAAUUUAUUUGUCUUUGUAUUUAGUUAGCCAUUAUUGAACCAUCCCAUAUCCUGCAUAUCACUCCCAGGUACAUUUCUGAUUUUCGGCAUCACACUAUUUGCCAUAGUCUCUUCUCUCUCUCUGACAGGAUUCAGACUGAAGGAGUUCUGAAUGAAGUUUGUAAGGCACAUUAUGAACAUAGCUUUCCCAAUUCUUACAAGGUUUAGUCUAUCCUGACAUGUUCCAGGAGCAGAUAAAGUGAUGUACUAGAAAAUUGUCAAUGCCUCAUUAUAAGAGGGGCAAUUUCUGGUGACCUUGAAAGAAGCUGUGGUGAAUACUUCCUGAAAAGGAUUCAUUGCUAAGUGGAGAAUGUCAUCUAGUCUCCAGUCUCUCCUUGGUUGAGAAGUUAUUGGUCUGGUGAUGGUGGAACAACUUCACAGUACCCUAGAGGAAACAAAUUAUCUGGACUCUUUUUAGACAGGAUUCAGGCUUGGGCAGGGAUUGGAUUCUACUGGUUUGGACCAAUUCAGGCGAACCGGUAGCUCCAAUGAUCAGAUGGGUUCACUCUCCUGCCCGCACUAUUUUCCUACCUUUAUCUUCUCAGCUGAUUUACGUGGUAGAGCGGAUUGCUGUGCAAAUCAGCUGUGUUACUCCUCUGAAGGAACCAGGAAGUGAAGAUUUCUUCAAACUGAGCACACAAAUUGCAUGAUCACUGAACUGAUUGGGCUUGGGUUUGGAGUAGAGAUACCGUUAGUCACCCCUUAGAUGACAUUUGUCAAGGCCCAAAUGAGAUAAUGCAUCCUUCUAAUCUUGUUGAUCCUCUCAGUAGCCCUUGAUAGCAUUGACCAUGGUAUCUUAUUGGAUGUGUACAGAGAUUGGAGAUCAGAGGAGCUGAUUUACUGCAAUUCCACUUCCUCCUCAGUAGUUGUUUACAAUUUGUGGUCAUUGGUGAAGAAAGAUUGAUGGCUUCUGAGUGGGAUACUGUAGGGCCCAUUUCUCUCUCCCCUACUCUAAGCUGUGAGGAGAUGCCGUCAGUGUCCUUUCCUCAUGCCUGGAGGUUAUCAGAGUUGAGAGAAGAAAGAAGAGAAGAGAAUAAAACUGAAUCCUGGUAAUCUGGAGUUGCUGUUGAUAUAACACAGUUCUCUGUUGCCAAAAGUGUUCUUUGACAGGACGUAUUACCCAUCAGAGAGGAAGUGUACAACUUCAACACCUGAUGAAAUAGCAGUUGGAAGCUGUGAGCAGAGACGCCUCAAGUGAACUCUACUGUAUCCCAUCAGUUGUAUCCCACAGUUUCAUGCCUUUAUCAACUCUUUAGUUGGAUAACUGUAAUGCAUUGUACUUGAGGCUGCCCUUAAAAAUUAUUUGGAAACUACAAUUGGUCUAAAACAUAAUUGCCCACAUAUUUUCAGAAUUGCCUGUUCCAUUUCCAUCCAUUACCCACCCAAUAUUAAGAUCAAACAAGGAGAAACUGUUAUUGAUCCUAAAUUUUUAGAAGGUUUGGGAGGUGUCUUAAGUGAGAAAGUGCUGUUUUUUGGAGGCAAUAUUAACCCUGUACAACAGCCUCCUGGUAGAGAAUAGGCACCCUUCUUUAUUGAUGUUUUAUUAGAGACAGAGUUGUUUAGGAGAAUCAUCUGCUGAUCUGAUCAUACCAUGUUUUCACUAUUAUUUUUAUUGCUUGCAUUCCGUUAAUUCCAGGUUCUCUUGUCUCAUUCAUGUAUGGUUUGUUGCAGUAGCCCACUUAUCAUCAAAUUAUCCUGGUUCCUUAACAUCUGAGGCUUGUUAACCCGGGUCAUGUCCAAGUCAGUAUGAAUCUCUUAUUUCACAUCAUUCUCAUAUUCAAGGUUGGCAGGAAAAGCAUUGGGGGUUAGAGGAUCCUUGACCCCUAUUGCUAAGAUAGGUAUCAGCUGGUAUUCAAACACUGAAUUCCCUUGUCAAAGGGUGGUACUCUAACCACUGUGCUGUCCAGCCUGUGUCUGAGGCAGCAGCAGAUGUGGGAGGAGGUUCAAGCAGAGGAAGUGCCAUUGCAAGACAAGACUUUGCAUAGACUAUAUGCAAAUAUAGACAUGAAUUGAUAGACAUUGAGAAAUCCUAUCGGUGGCUGGAAAGGACUGGAUUGAAAGACAACAUGAGGUACUGAUCAUAACAACACAAGAACAGGCAUUAGACAGGACCCAAAGUACAAACUGUGCAGAGAGGCCUCAGAGACAGUCUAAUACCCGAUGGCAUGAUAUUAGAUGCAGGAAGAACAGCAUACAAUACACAACAUAACAAAGUAGCUAGCAUUGUGUACAGGAACACCUGCAGAAUGUAUGGGCUAGACCAUCUGUGGACUUUCCCAUCUAGACCUUCCCAAGUCCAUAUGGGAGAUUCCAUAGAUGAUCACUUAACAGAUUAAACAAAUUAACAGAAUUAGAAGGAACUUUGUAGGUCUUCUAAUCCAACUCCUCACCCAAGCAGGAGACCUUACACCAUUUCUGACAAAUGGCAGUCCAGUGUCUUCUUGAAAGGUUCCAAAACUUCUGAAGGCAAGGUGUUCCAUUGAUUGAUUGUUCCCAGUGUCAGAAAAUUUCUCCUUAUUUCUAUGUUGAAUCUCUCCUUGAUCAGUUUCCAUCCAUUAUUCCUUGUCUAGCCUUCGGGUGCUUUGGAAAAUAGUUUGACCCCUCCUCUGUAUGGCAGCCUGUCAAAUAUUGGAACACUGCUAUCAUGUCUCCCCUGGUCCUUCUCUUCAUUAGACUAGCCAUGUCGAGUACUUGCAACCGUUCAUUGUAUGUUUCAUAUUUCAUUGAAUAUUUCAUGGAGACUAACAGAGAUCCUGUGGGACUUCCAGAUCCAGACUGACAGGCAAGUACUAGACAGUCAAGCACACUUCAUAGACAAGGACCAAAAUACAGCAGUGGUGAUAAUGUAGCAUUCCCGGGUGAUGGCAACAUCAGGAAGAAGGAGUACCAGAAGCUGGAGAAGUACCAGGCCUAAAGAGAAAUUAGAGGGGAUGUGGAAACUAAAGGGCAAAGUGGUCCCAGGGGUUAUAGGAACAUUCAGGGCUGUGACUCCUAAGCUGGGAGAGUGGUUCCAACAGAUCCCAGGAACAAUAUCAGAGCUCUCUGUCUGGAAGAGUCCAGUGCUAAGAUACUGUACAUAACUUUAAAACUUCCAGGUGUCUGACAGAGGAUCUGAAAUUGAGGAAAAUAUAACACUCGUAGGGAUGAGAAGGGUUUUUAUAUUAUUAUUCUAUGUAAGCUACAAUCAAGUGUCUUUUUGAUUUUGGGAGGGGAAUUGAAUUAUGUAAAAUCAAUCAAUCAAUCAAACCUUUAUCUGGAGUUUUCCAUCUCAGGAAGAAUGAAAUAAUUAAGCCUAAUCAUAUUGACACCAUUGGCACUGCUAGUAAUUCAAUGCCGGGAUUUUUUUCUCUCUUCUUAGUCCUUUCCCUCAAUACCACUUGUGCUCCUAUCUUGAUCUUCUUGUCCAGUGGUUUGUAAUUCCUUGCAAUGUCUUCAGGGAUGUUUCUCACUGUAUUGUUUGUUCCCGUGUGGAUCAGUGGAAAGGGGCAUUUGUGUUAUUUACUAGAUAUUGAGAAACAGGUUGAAAUCUGUGUUCAUAAACCAUCAUGUUUAUACAACGCUUAUAUCAAUAUGCCAAUAUAAUAUCAGUACUAAAUUAUUCCGAAUAUUCUAAUUCACAUUUUCAACUGAAGUAUUUGCUGGCAGUGAAAAAAAUUGAGAAUAACAAAACAAGUAUUUCUGGGUCUUUUUCCCUACUUAGCCCCUCCUUCUGUACUUGUUGGAGAUAAUGCACUUGGUUUAAACUUUGCACCCAUAGAAUCAGUGUUAGUUUUGAAAUAUUGCAUGUUGCUCUGAUGUUCCUUUGACAGAUAUAAGAACAAAUUUGAUAAAUUAAACAUUUUUAACUGGUGGCUUGCUAUUUAAAUUUUCAGAAAUAUAUUAGGUGUUCUGUGAAUCUACUUCUAACAUUUAGAGAUGUUUUAUUAGUACCAAUGUGUUUCUGUUGCUAUUUUUCAUCCCCCUUUUCAAUAUUUAAUCUUUCAACUGUUCUAUAUAGGCAAGAUUUUUUUCUAUAAUGGAUAGUAAUUUGGAUUUUUUCGAAUCCUUGACUUUUUAAAAUGUUCUAUAAACGUUAUUUGCAUUGUAGAAGUAAUUGAAAAGAUAGGUUUAUGAGACAAUAAUGUUGCUUGAUCUGUACACAAUUUUUUUUUAUAAAAAGUUUUAUUUUUACAUUCAUAUCCAACAACACAUCCAAUGUACAAUCAUAUACAAUUAGUCAGGCUUGCCCAGUCACCACCCUCUCCUUUUAACUCUCUUCCCUCUUCUACCUUCUUCUACUUUCCACACCUUCCUCCCCUUCUCUUAUCUACAUCCUCUUCUCCCUCCGCCCUACACCUUCCUUCUCCCUCUUCUCCCUCUCUUUCUUUCUCUUCUCCUCUUUCCUACCUCCUACUCUCUUCUCCUUUCUCCCAUGCCACCAUUCUAAAAUGGUAGCUGGGCAGACCCGACCUUACAUUAAUUAUAUUUAUACAUCUUCAAUAAUUUAACCAUCACUCCACCCUCUACCCUCAUCCCCCCCAAUUCCCCUCCCCCUUACUCCCCACCCUCCACCCCCCAAGACUUCCUAGAACAAAAUGCGGGAUAUCAAAACUAACAAUCAUAAUCCAAAAUAAAUCUUAAAUUAUAAUCUCUAGUCACUCCACACAUCAUCACACUCUCAAUUCCCCUCUCCUUUAAAAAUAUAUCUAAUACAAAAUACUUCCUAAAUUUACUCAUAUGCUAUUCGAUAUUUUUUUAUCUGAUGCUUAUUUUAAAUAUAAUCAAUCCACAUUUUCCAUUCUAAAAUAUAUUUUUCUUGUGUAUAGUCUUUCAAAUAAGCAGAAUUUUUUGCCGUUUCUGCCAGAUUUUAUACUUUAAGUGUCCAUUCUUCAAUUGUAGGUAAUUCUUGUUUCUUCCAAUAUUGAGCAAUCAAAAGUCUUGCGGCUGUUAUUAAGUUCAAAAUCAAUUUAGUCUCUAUAGCUGUACAAUCCAUAAUUAUUCCUAGUAGAAAGAACUGCGGAGUAAACUUAAUCUUCUUUUUCAAAAUAUUCUGCAUAAUCCACCAUACUUUAGUCCAAAAUGCUUUAACUUUUUUACAAGUCCACCAUAUAUGGUAAUAACUGGCAUCUUCACAAUCACAUCUCCAACAUUUAGCCUGUACAUUAGGAUACAUGUAUGACAACUUUUUGGGGUCUAAGUGCCAUCUAUAAAACAUCUUGUAAAAAUUUUCUCUCAUAUUUUGCGAUUGUGUAAAUUUAACAUUCCUCACCCAAAUUCUUUCCCAAGUUUCCAACAUUAUUGGUUGCUGAAAAUUUUAUGCCCACUUAAUCAUACAAUUCUUAACCAAUUCAGUCUCUGAGUCUAUUUCUACUAAUACGUUAUACAGCCUCUUAAUAUGCUGUUGACCUUGAUCUCUCAUUUGUUUUAACAAAUUAUCUUCAGUUUGCUUAAUACCUAUUUUUUUAUCUAAUUUCCAUCUUACUUGUAAUUGUCCAUAUUGAAACCAUGUAUAAUUUUUCCCUUCUUCCCCCGUCUUUUCUCUGGAUUUUAAUUGUAAUUCCCCCUUUUCAAUACAAAGAAGUUCUUUAUAAGGAACUAUCUCCAUCUUUUGAUAUAUAUUUAUAUUUUCUAUCAUGUGUCUCGGGAUUGCCCAUAUUGGUAUCUUAAUUUAUAUUGAUAUUUCCUCCACACCCUCAAUAAUUAUAUUACUUUUAAAUAUCUUGUCAGCUUUCUUAUCAUAUAAUAAAUAGGCAUGCCACCCGUAUAACAAACCAUAACCUUCUAUAUUCAAAACUCUUUCCUCAGUUAAAUUAAUCCAAUCAGUAAUUAAUGAUAAGACAACUGCUUCAUAAUACAAUUUUAGAUUAGGCAUUUUAAGUCCUCCCCUUUCCCUUGUAUCCUGCAUUAUUUUUAACUUUAUUCUUGGUUUUUUGCCCAUCCAUACGAAAUUAUUAACCCCCCUUUUGCCAUUCUUGUAAUUUGGUAUUGUCCUUAAGUACCGGUAUCAUUUGAAACAAAAAUAGAAACCUGGGCAAAACAUUCAUUUUUAUAGCUGCUAUUCUUCCCAGCAAAGAUAAUUGUAACUUCUUCCAAUUCUCCAUUUCUUUCCAUACCUUCUGCCACAAUACCUCAUUAUUAUUUUUGUAUAAUUUCACAUUUGAAGCUGUAAUGUAUAUUCCUAAAUAACCUUUUUAACUAUUUCAAAACCCAUAGAUCUUUCUAACUCUUCUUUUUGUUAUAUAUUCAUAUUUUUAGUUAUCAUCUUUAUCUUUUACUGAUUCAUCUUAAAUCCAGAUACUUUACCAUACUGAUCAAUUAUUUCUUUUAAACCAGUAGCUGAAUAUAUUGGUUGAGAUACAGUAACAACCAAGUCAUCUGCAAAGGCUCUUAAUCUAUAAUCUUGAUGUUUAAUUCUAAUUCCCUUUAUUCGAUCUGAACCACGUAUUUUAUUCAAAAGAAUUUCUAAAGUUAAAAUAAAAAGUAAUGGAGACAGGGGGCAACCCUGUCUCGUCCCUUUCCCAAUUUUAAAGGUUUCUGUUAAACCACCAUUUACUAUUAUUUGUGCUGUUUGCUUCUGAUAUAUUACUUUAAUUGCAUGGAUAAAAUAAUCCCCAAAUUGCAUUUUUUCUAUUACUUUAAACAAAAACUGCCAAUCCAAUCUAUCAAAAGCUUUUUCAGCAUCCAGAAAAAAAAGUGCUGCUGAGACUUGGUUGUUUUGUUCCAAAUAUUCAAGUAAAUUUACAAUUUGCCUCACAUUAUACCUCAUCUGCCUACUCUUAAUAAAUCCUGAUUGAUCAUUAUGAAUUAUUUGAUUCAUCACUGGCAUUAAUCUAUUAGCAAGUAUCUUGGCAAAUAUCUUAUAAUCAGUAUUUAAAAGCGAUAUUGGCCUGUUAUUCUCUGCUUUAAUACCAUCUCGAUCUUCCUUCGGUAUUAAUGAAAUAAAAGCUGUCCUCUAUGAAGGGGGAACAUCCCCUCCCAUUUGAAUUUUAUUAAAUAGCUCUUUAAGUGGUUCAACCAUCUCAUUUUGUAAAUUUUUAUAAUAAACAGCUGUUAAACCAUCUGUACCUGGUGCUUUACCGACUUUAAGCUGCUUAAUUGCUAACAUAAUUUCCUCUGAAGUAAUUAAUUGAUUCAAUUCUUCCCUUUGAUUUUCUGCAAGCUCACAAAUAUCUUGUUGUUGUAAAUAUCUUUCUAUCUCUGUAUCAUCAAUCAUAUCCCUAGUAUAUAACUUUGUAUAAUACUCUAAAAAUGCUUUUUUAAUCAAAUUCUUUUGAUACACUUCUUUACCCCUAUAUUCUAUUUUAUCAAUCGUUCGUGAUUUCUGUUUUUUUCCUUAUUAAAUAGACUAGCCAUCUUCCUGGCUUGUUAGCAUUAUUGAACGUAUUAUGUUUUACAUAUUGUAAGUUAAUUGCUACUUGAUCUGCCAUCAACAUAUUAAACUGACCUCUCAAUAUAUUUAUUGAUUCUUUUACUAUUUCCUGGGCUAUUUAUCAAUAACUGUUCUUUCCUUUUAAUUUCCUCUUCCAAUUCCUUUUUCUGUUUCUGCAAUCUAUUUCUAUAUUUAAUAUUCAUUUGUAUAAGAGUUCCUCUCAUAUAAGCCUUACUAGCGUCCCAAACCAGCUCUAUAGAUGUUUCUUUUUUCAUAUUCAUAAUAAAAAAUUCUUUCAUUUGCUUUUUACAUUCAUUUACAUUUUGUUCAUAUUUAAACAAAUUCUCAUUCAGCCUCCAUGAUCUCCUAGCCUUCUUUUCCCGAUCAAAUUCAAUCCAAACCGGACUGUGAUCAGAUAGAGUUCUUGAACAAAUCUUCGUCUUCUUCACUCUAGAAUACGAAUCAUUAGAAAUCAAAAUAAUAUCAAUCCUCGAAAAUGAUUGAUGCCUAUCAGAAAAGAAGGUAAAAUCCCUCUCUUCCGUAUUAUGUUCUCUCCAAAUAUCUCUUAAUUCUAAGUCCUCCAUCAUUUCAAAAAAAGCCUUUGGUAAUUUUGCCCGGCUUGAAGUCUUCCUUAAACUUUUUUUGUCUUUUCGAGUAUCCAACACACCAUUCCAAUCACCCAUUAAUAUAUAUGAUUUAUAAUCCCAAAAUAAUAUAAUUAUUGGAUUUUUAUGUAAAAACUUGAAAAAAAAUUCUUAUUGUUGAUUCGGAGCAUAGACUCCUAUUAAUAAUGUCUUCUUUCCCUCCAACAAAAGUUCAAUAGCAAUAUAUCUUCCUUGAUUAUCCACCUCAAUUAAUUUUGCUGAUAUAUCCUUCUUUAUAUAUAUGACUAAACCAUUCUUUUUUUCCAAAGGGGAGGCAACAAAAUGUACUCCCAAUUUUGAAUUUAUCAAAUAUUUCUGAUCUAAAGAUCUAAUAUGUGUUUCUUGUAAACAGAUAAUACCAUUUUUAAAUUGUUUCAGAUAAUGAAAUACUUUCCUUCUCUUCUGUGGUGAAUUCAGACUGUUAACAUUCCAAGAUAAUAGUUUAAUUGCCAUUAUCGGCAAAAGGAAACUUUUGGAACACCAGCCGCAGAUCACAUUUUUCUUUAGGCCUUGCUCCUCCCACUGUUUCCAUUGUAAUAGUUGCCAAUUGUUGUUGUGCCUUUACAUCUUGUUCCUUGCGUUUAGCAGCAGCUCUUGUCAACCUUUGUUCCUUUGGAUCUGAACCCGUCGUAGGUAUUUCCAACACUUGUAAUAAAUCUUCUUCCAUCACGAUCUGUUCUUGUACCUGCUUCACUUCUCUUUCCUUCACUUCACCCUCCCUUCUUCUAGCUUCCAAUCGGGGAAGACUUCCAGCUUUUAAUGCCUCAACAUAAAAUUCUCUUGCUUUUCCAACUGUAUUGAGACGAUGUGCUUUCCCUGCGUAAUAUACUAUUAUACCAAUUGGAAUAUCCCAUCUAGAUUGGGCCCAUCUAGAUUGGGCCUCUGGUGGCUCAACAGGCUAAUGCAGCCUGUUAUUAACAGCAACUGCCUGCAAUAUUGCAGGUUCAAGUCCCACCAGGCCCAAGGUUGACUCAGCCUUCCAUCCUUUAUAAGGUAGGUAAAAUGAGGACCCAAAUUGUUGGGGGGCAAUAAGUUGACUUUGUAUAUAGUAUACAAAUGGAUGAAGACUAUUGCCUGACAUAGUGUAAGCCGCCCUGAGUCUUCGGAGAAGGGCGGGAUAUAAAUGCAAAUAAAAAAAAAAUAUUCAAUCUGAUGUUUUUUAAGUUCAUUCACCAGGAAGGCAAAUUCCUUCCUAGCCCUUAACAUUUUUGGUGGAAUUUCCUUUAAUGUUAAGAUAUCUUGACCAGCAACUUGAAUCUUCUCCCCCUUUAUAUGAAGCUUGCAGAAUCUGAUUUCUCACUGUUCUGAUUGUAAAAUAAAUAACAACAUCCCUUGGCAACUUUUUUUGCCUUGCUAUCCAAGAGUUCACACGAUAUAUUUUAUCAAUUUGAUAAGCCACAUGUGCUGGACGAGCUGUUAAUAUCUCAGCAAAUGCUUCAGAAAAAAUUUCCUUUAAGUUCUCUUGUUUAUUUUCCUUUAAGCCACAGAUUAUUAAAGCAAAUUCCAUAUUUCUAUAUUGUAUCAAAACUAUUUCAUCAUCUGUUUUUUCCAUUUUACUUUGAAAUUCAUCCAUUUUAUUUUCUAAUUUUGAAUUAAAUUGCUUAAUUUCUUCAACUUCCUCUUCUAAUAAAAUCACAUUUGUUGCCAAACUUUGUACUGCAAUCACAAAUCCUUCCUUAACUUCUUUAUUUCCCACUUGAAUUUCUAACAUCUGCUCUUUCAUUUCAGACAUCUCAUCAGUUAUUACUUUAACUUUUUCUUGUAUAAAAUCCUUCAAAUUAUCCUGUAACGCCUCCAAAUUCAAUGUUUUAGUAUCUGCUGUAUGGGCUGGAGAGGCGCCAGCUGAAGAAAUUCCAGAGCUCUUUGUUACAGUUGUCUUUAAUUAUUUGGCUGCCAUUUUCUAUAAAGUUUUUUUUUUUCAACUUAAUAUUCACUUUAAAUCUUCUUAACCUCCUGAAAACACAAUCUUUUUUAACAAUAUUUAAAAAUCUCCCAUAGAUUCUAUCAGCAGGUAGCAAGAAGUAAAAGUACGAAACAGCAUGCAAUUUACCAGCGGCAGACGGCAAGCACUAAAAGUUCUGUCACUUUCGCUUUCCACUCGUUAACUUGUUAACAACUCGCCACCAUUUUUUUGCUAUUUUCAAGCUUAAUACAAAAUAACGGGGAAUUGGCUUAGCUACUUGCAUGAAGUUCUCCCACUUUUGCUCUGUCCGGUAUAAUCCUUUAUUGUCCAAAAUAGAUCUCAGAGUUUGGUUGUGGUCAUUGAAUCCGCCAAGGCAGAAAAAUCCUCGGAUCUGGAGCACUUCAGGUUGCUGGAGGGAACUUAACCCUUCAAACCUCUUUUUUCUCAGGGGUUUUAGGGAAGUUCUACCUCUACCCUGCAGCUCACCUCCUCUUCUUUUCCCGAAGAGGGGUUUUUUCAACUGUUGGACAGCAGAUUUACGCUGUCCUAGCGAUUCCACAUAAUCCAGAGGUUGGCAAUCGUAAAGAUCGGCGCCAUCACCUACGGUGCCAAAUCGGAAGCCCCACAAUUUGGAUGGAUGUUGAACAUGUACACUUGUAAAAAAGAAUUGGAUAUGAAGUGAGAAAAAUGUAUUAGAAAUGAUGAAUUUCCUAUAUUGAUAUUGAUAUUGUUUCCCGAUUGCUUAUUUGUACCCUAUGACUAUCAUUAAGUGUUGUACCCUAUGAUUCUUGAUGAACAUAUCUUUUCUUUUAUGUACACUGAGAGCAUAUGUGCCAAGACAAAUUCCUUGUGUGUCCAAUUACACUUGG